UACGAAGGGGGCUAGCGUUGCUCGGAAUCACUGGGCGUAAAGCGCACGUAGGCGGACUCUUAAGUCGGUGGUGAAAUCCUGGAGCUCAACUCCAGAACUGCCUUCGAUACUGGGAGUCUUGAGUCCGAGAGAGGUGAGUGGAACUGCGAGUGUAGAGGUGAAAUUCGUAGAUAUUCGCAAGAACACCAGUGACGAAGGCGGCUCACUGGCUCGGUACUGACGCUGAGGUGCGAAAGCGUGGGGAGCAAACAGG
rnacentral:rRNA from 1 species